rnacentral:lncRNA from 10 species
UGUUACUAAAGGAAAGGAGAGAGUAGACAAGGAGAAGGCAACUAGCGAUUCUGGACACGAGCUCCAGGAAGACAGUAAACAGAGGAGGAAAAGUACUGCCCUCCUCACCCAUCUGGGGUACACGGGACACUAUCAAUAAGCGAUAGAAGCCCAGGACUCAAGCUGUAGUUAACUUGCUUUCCUCUCUUCUAAAUGUUAAAGGAAAGUUCACAUCCAGGGUAGUUAGGAGACAGAGCAGCAUUUUAAAUGCUGUCAAAUUCCAGCUGAAUUCAGAAAAUUCAGAAUUUUCUGAACGGUGUUGCACAAGAUGUUUUUGAAUGUUACAUGAAAAAAUGAGUCCCUAAUCAAAAAGUUUGGGAAACUCUGGAUUGAACCAAGUUGUGCAGUUUAUUUGAUUGCAGAAAAUGUUGGGGUCACUGGUGUGCUCACUUGCCUUGUGAUUUUUUUUUUUAAAUUUUGGACAGAGAACAUUCCCAUAUUUGACCAUGGACUCACUUCUUACAGAAAAUCCCAUGGGAUAAACAUUCCACAUAGUAAACAUUUAGGAAAUAAUGGUGUGGUCAGAGGCUACAUCUUUACCCUGCCGGUUUUCUCAAAGCACUGCCCAUGGGCCACCUACACUAGAAUCUUCUUAGCUCCAUUACACAACUACUGAAUCACAGUCUCAGGCCUGUGGCUUGGAAAUCCGCAUUUUCAAAGCUCUCUGAGCUAUAGUCUUACGCUUAUUGAAGUUUGGGAUCCACCAGGUGACAGAGUUGUGCCUCCACUUUACAGACACCAUGACUUGAUCAAUUUACAUCCAGGUACCUCCUCCUGGCUCCCUAAAACUCAUUUCUCUCAUCACCAUGUGGUACCCGGAUAAUUUUCUCAGCUCUGUUCCAAGCAGCUUGCAUUUAUCUUUAUUGUUGCUCUUUUUAUUGAUUUAGGUCCAUCUCUGCAAUUCGUCAAGCUUGGAUUGCAUUUUAAUCUUGUCCUCCAAAGUAGCUAAGAUCCCUUCCAGCUUCCUAUCAUCCAGAAAUCUGAUUAGCUGGGUCUCGAUUCCAUCCUUCAAGCCAUUAAUGAAAACAUUAAAUGGUCCUGGCUUGGCAUGAAGGUCUUCAGGGUUCUCGGUGGGUAUAUGGCUCCCAUAUCUGCCACUAGCCUCUGCUUGGCAUAGUCCUGGGUUGGAGAUCAGGCCCAAUAUUUCAGUUGUAGGUUACUGCAUCCUCAUGCUUCCUCAUCCAUGCACGUAGUGCAAAUCUGUGUAGGAAAAAUACAACCUAGUAAUUAAUUAAUUCAUUAGACAUUAGAUCAACAAAUGUCUUUAAAACACUAGGUUUUUCCUCACACCAGUGGCAUGUUGACCUCAGAAUGAAGAAGCUAAUGCCGAGUGUGUGCAUUAGAAAGAUCGAUUUUUAUGUAAAAUGCAACUCGGAUCUGUCUUUGUGAUACACCAUUCCAGGAGGAGAUGACCUCAAGACAAGCAGCUUCCAUGCAAUACUGCAGCAAGGGCUUACUUUCCUGAGCAUUUCCCACGCUCCAAUCACUGCUCUAAUUCCUUUAGAUGUGUUAACUCACUUCCUGCUCACAAUACUUCUAUGAGGUGAGUGCUAUGGUUAUCUCCCUUUUUUAAGGUACUAUGCAGAUAGUGCCAGAGCUGAUAAGUGUCAGAGCAAGAAUUCAGGCUCAAGCAGUCUGGCUUCAGGGCCCAGGCUCUGGACCACUCUUCCAUCCCGUUGCAGCAGUGGUUGAGUGGAUUAUGUGGUGGGAACAGCCUACCCAGUGCUCAGAACCCAGAAAUGAUCAGAAAGACUCACCGUGGUGCUCAUGGGUUUUCAGCAGUCAUCUCUGUUCAUGUUCCCAAACCAUGCCAAUCAAUAUUCUUUGCUGCUAUUGGGUAGAUGAGGAAAUGGAGGGACCAAGAUAACUGCCCCAGAGCCAACCCCAGGUCCAGCGGACUCUUUCCUCCUCAGAGGCUUGCCCCAGGAGAGACCAGCUGAACAGGCAUUGCCUGGGACUCCUUGGGGAAGUGGAGGUUGGAAAAGUAAGUGAAGGAACAAGCACUGGGGGGGGGGUCAGUGUUCAGUUCAUCCCUUGCUAUGGCCCCAUCCUCAAACCUGUCACAAAGCCCUGCCAGCCAGGGCACCCACAAAGCCCACCUUCUCCAGAGGGGCCUGAAUCUCUUGUUGGGCUUGGUGUGGGUUUCGGAGGCGAUGACUGGGCUGAAGUGACCUCUCUCAUUCAACAGACUCAGCCACUCAGGGCUGGGCCUGGCCUGACUCUAGGAGCACAAGAUGCAGCCUCUGUCCUCAGAGAUUCAAAGGUUGAGCAGACAUUGGCCACAGUCCCGGCUGGCUCCGACCGUGGCAGAGGCUGAACCAGAGCAGAGGAGGAAGCAGAGGGGUGGGCCGCAAGCUCUUCUUGGAGUCUCAGGAGCUGCAGAGAGCAAGCUGGGCUUCCUGGAGGAGGAGGCGUGAGAGUUGGGCCUUGAAGCACUCAGCAGCUGUUUCCUGAGCUGAUGUACAUCUCAUUAGUCUAUCAAGCUCCAACAGCCAAGGCCAAGGCCCCCAGAAUGAAAAACUGACGCAGCCACCCCUUCCUGUGCCAGAGACAGGAGAAGGGAGGGAGACUGACGGCCUUUGUUCUCUGAGCAAGACCGUAAAGCACUUCGCCUACAGGCCACAAGAGGGCGAUGGUGGUCCACACAUAAGAUCUUCCCAAAGAGCCAGCCAAAAACGCCUGCCUGGAGAAUCUGGAGGUUGUGAAAGGUGACUUUGUUAAGGAAGGGCGAUGGCCCUUCUCCCUGCCCCAGAGCUCUGAAAGCCUUUAAAGUGGCUUUAGCAGCGUGGUUUAAGAAUGGCUCCUUCGGUACAAGGACGGCCAUCACUGCUUCUCCUACUGUGUUUGAUGCCAGCGUUCUUCCCGUCUGCAGGGAAGGACGGAGAGUGAGGAGGGCACACAGGACGUAGCUGGCUCCUGGCCAUGGACGGUGACCGCUCUGGGGCCAGCAGGGUAGAGCUGCCUUCCUACAUCUGAGAACUCAAGGGCGAGAGGGAGGCAGGGCAGGGGAGAGGGUUGGUCUCAGUUCACAGGGCGACCCUCUGGCCCUGGUUCUGACGGCGACUCGCUGUGUAAGCUAAGGAGUGUCUCGCUCUGUACAGCGGGCAGGUGGUGGGUCUCUGCACGUCCAGCAUCUCCAGCUUUCCGUCCUCUGAGCUGUUUUGACAUGGGAGGCGCUGGCAGGGAGAGAGGGGUCACUGAUGUGGGAAGCUGGUGCAGAGCUGGGGAGUAGCUUGUGAUGCUGGAGAACCUGGAGAUGCCCCUCCCAUUCCUUGGGCCUCGACUGUCUCAUCUGUGGAAUGGGCGGGUCAGACUGGAUAAUCUCUAACCAUUGCUUCCCUUCACUUCUGUCCCAAUAAACACACACGGAGCUUUUUCGUUUGUCUUUUGUCUUUUUUUUUUUUUUUUUUUUUUUUUUAGAGACGAGGUCUCACUAUGUUGUUCCCCAGGUCUGAGUACAG